AACGAACGCUGGCGGCAUGCCUAACACAUGCAAGUCGAACGAGACCUUCGGGUCUAGUGGCGCACGGGUGCGUAACGCGUGGGAACCUUCCCUUAGGUUCGGAAUAACUCCCCGACAGGGGUGCUAAUACCGGAUAAUGUCUUCGGACCAAAGAUUUAUCGCCUUUGGUUGGGCCCGCGUUGGAUUAGCUAGUUGGUAGGGUAAAAGCCUACCAAGGCGACGAUCCAUAGCUGGUCUGAGAGGAAGAUCAGCCACACUGAGACUGAGACACGGCCCAGACUCCUACGGGAGGCAGCAGUGGGGAAUAUUGGACAAUGGGCGAAAGCAUGAUGCAGCAAUGCCGCGUGAGUGAUGAAGGCCUUAGAGUUGUAAAGCUCUUUUAACCGGGAUGAUAAUGACAGUACCGGAAGAAUAAGCUCCGGCUAACUCCGUG
rnacentral:rRNA from 1 species